AUUUAAUUGAAGAGUUUGAUCAUGGCUCAGAUUGAACGCUGGCGGCAGCUUUAAUACAUGCAAGUCGAGCGAGAAAGUUUCUUCGGAAAUGAGUAAAGCGGCGAACGGGUGAGUAACGCGUAGGAAUCUACCAUUCAGCGGGGGAUAGCUCGAGGAAACUCGAAUUAAUACCGCAUAUACCCUACGGGGGAAAGAAGGCCUCUCCUUGGAAGCUUUCACUGUUUGAUGAGCCUGCGUGAGAUUAGUUUGUUGGUGAGGUAAUGGCUCACCAAGACUACGAUCUCUAGCUGGUCUGAGAGGACGAUCAGCCACACUGGGACUGAGACACGGCCCAGACUCCUACGGGAGGCAGCAGUAGAGAAUAUUGGACAAUGGGGGCAACCCUGAUCCAGGCAUGCCGCGUGUGUGAAGAAGGCCUUAGGGUUGUAAAGCACUUUAGGUAAGGAAGAAAAGUUAAUAGUUAAUACCUGUUGACCGUGACAUUACUUACAGAAUAAGGACCGGCUAACUCCGUGCCAGCAGCCGCGGUAAUACGGAGGGUCCAAGCGUUAAUCGGAAUUACUGGGCGUAAAGCGCGCGUAGGCGGUAUGCUAAGUUGGGUGUGAA
rnacentral:rRNA from 1 species